GAGGAACACGUGGGUUAUCUACCUUGAGGUGAGGAAUACCGGCGAGAAAUCGCCGACAAUACCGCAUACGUUUGGAAACAAACAAAGUCCCGGCAACGGGACGCCACAAGAUGAGCCUGCGCCCGAUUAGCUUCGUUGGUGGGGUAACGGCCUACCAAGGCAACAAUCGGUAGCUGGUCUGAGAGGACGAUCAGCCACACUGGGAUUGAGAACGGCCCAGACUCCUACGGGGGGCAGCAGUGAGGAAUUUUCGUCAAUGGGGGCAACCCUGAACGAGCAACGCCGCGUGCAGGAAGAAGGUUUUCGGAUCGUAAACUGCUUUUCCCAGGGAAGAGAACGGACGGUACCUGGGGAAUAAGCCCCGGCUAACUACGUGCCAGCAGCCGCGGUAAUACGUAGGGGGCAAGCGUUGUCCGGAUUUAUUGGGCGUAAAGCGCACGCAGGCGGUCUUUUAAGUUUCGAGUGACAGGUGGGGGCUUAACCCUCGCAGGCCUUGGAAAACUGGAAGACUUGAGGACGAGAGAGGGACGCGGAAUUCCAGGUGGAGCGGUGAAAUGC
rnacentral:rRNA from 1 species